AUUGCCUUAGUAACGGCGAGUGAAGCGGCAACAGCUCAAAUUUGAAAUCUGGCGUCUUUGGCGUCCGAGUUGUAAUUUGCAGAGGGCGCUUUGGCAUUGGCAGCGGUCCAAGUUCCUUGGAACAGGACGUCACAGAGGGUGAGAAUCCCGUACGUGGUCGCUAGCCUUUACCGUGUAAAGCCCCUUCGACGAGUCGAGUUGUUUGGGAAUGCAGCUCUAAAUGGGAGGUAAAUUUCUUCUAAAGCUAAAUACUGGCCAGAGACCGAUAGCGCACAAGUAGAGUGAUCGAAAGAUGAAAAGCACUUUGGAAAGAGAGUUAAAAAGCACGUGAAAUUGUUGAAAGGGAAGCGCUUGCAGCCAGACUUGCCUGUAGUUGCUCAUCUAGGUUUCUACCUAGUGCACUCUUCUAUAGGCAGGCCAGCAUCAGUUUGGGCGGUUGGAUAAAGGUCUCUGUCAUGUACCUCUCUUCGGGGAGAACUUAUAGGGGAGACGACAUGCAACCAGCCUGGACUGAGGUCCGCGCAUCUGCUAGGAUGCUGGCGUAAUGGCUGUAAGCGGCCCGUCUUGAAACACGGACCAAGGAGUCUAACAUCUAUGCGAGUGUUUGGGUGUCAAGCCCGAGCGCGUAAUGAAAGUGAACGGAGGUGGGAACCUUUCGGGGUGCACCAUCGACCGAUCCUGAUGUCUUCGGAUGGAUUUGAGUAAGAGCAUAGCUGUUGGGACCCGAAAGAUGGUGAACUAUGCUUGAAUAGGGUGAAGCCAGAGGAAACUCUGGUGGAGGCUCGCAGCGGUUCUGACGUGCAAAUCGAUCGUCAAAUUUGGGCAUAGGGGCGAAAGACUAAUCGA
rnacentral:rRNA from 1 species